rnacentral:rRNA from 2 species
UCCCAAGGGUAUGGCUGUUCGCCAUUUAAAGUGGUACGCGAGCUGGGUUUAGAACGUCGUGAGACAGUUCGGUCCCUAUCUGCCGUGGGCGCUGGAGAACUGAGGGGGGCUGCUCCUAGUACGAGAGGACCGGAGUGGACGCAUCACUGGUGUUCGGGUUGUCAUGCCAAUGGCACUGCCCGGUAGCUAAAUGCGGAAGAGAUAAGUGCUGAAAGCAUCUAAGCACGAAACUUGCCCCGAGAUGAGUUCUCCCUGAGACUUUAAGUCUCCUGAAGGAACGUUGAAGACGACGACGUUGAUAGGCCGGGUGUGUAAGCGCAGCGAUGCGUUGAGCUAACCGGUACUAAUGAACCGUGAGGCUUAACCUUACAACGCCGAAG